rnacentral:rRNA from 1 species
GAUGAACGCUAGCUACAGGCUUAACACAUGCAAGUCGAGGGGCAGCAUGAAGUCAGCUUGCUGACUUUGAUGGCGACCGGCGCACGGGUGAGUAACGCGUAUCCAACCUUCCCCUUACUCAGGAAUAGCCCGUUGAAAGACGGAUUAAUGCCUGAUGUUCUCAUGUUGCCGCAUGGCGAUAUGAGCAAAGAUUCAUCGGUAAGGGAUGGGGAUGCGUAUGAUUAGCUUGUUGGCGGGGUAACGCCCACCAAGGCGACGAUCAUUAGGGGUUCUGAGAGGAAGGUCCCCCANACUGGAACUGAGACACGGUCCAGACUCCUACGGGAGCAGCAGUGAGGAAUAUUGGUCAAUGGGCGAGAGCCUGAACCAGCCAAGUAGCGUGAAGGAAGACUGCCCUAUGGGUUGUAAACUUCUUUUGUUCGGGAAUAAAGUGCAGUAUGUAUACUGUUUUGUAUGUACCGUUCGAAUAAGCAUCGGCUAAUUCCG